rnacentral:rRNA from 1 species
GCCUCGGAAGAGAUUUCGGUCAAUGGAAGAGGCUAUUUAGUGGCGGACGGGUGAGUAACGCGUGAGGAACCUGCCUUUCAGAGGGGGACAACAGUUGGAAACGACUGCUAAUACCGCAUAACAUAUGUUUGUCGCAUGGCAGAUAUAUCAAAGAUUUAUCGCUGAGAGAUGGCCUCGCGUCUGAUUAGCUAGUUGGUAGGGUAACGGCCUACCAAGGCGACGAUCAGUAGCCGGACUGAGAGGUUGGCCGGCCACAUUGGGACUGAGAUACGGCCCAGACUCCUACGGGAGGCAGCAGUGGGGAAUAUUGGGCAAUGGGCGCAAGCCUGACCCAGCAACGCCGCGUGAAGGAAGAAGGCUUUCGGGUUGUAAACUUCUUUUAAGAGGGAAGAGCAGAAGACGGUACCUCUUGAAUAAGCUCCGGCUAACUACGUGCCAGCAGCCGCGGUAAUACGUAGGGAGCGAGCGUUGUCCGGAUUUACUGGGUGUAAAGGGCGUGCAGCCGGGAGUACAAGUCAGAUGUGAAAUCCCGCGGCUCAACCGCGGAACUGCAUUUGAAACUGUAUUUCUUGAGUACUGGAGAGGCAGACGGAAUUCCUAGUGUAGCGGUGAAAUGCGUAGAUAUUAGGAGGAACACCAGUGGCGAAGGCGGUCUGCUGGACAGCAACUGACGGUGAGGCGCGAAAGCGUGGGGAGCAAACAGGAUUAGAUACCCUGGUAGUCCACGCUGUAAACGAUGGAUACUAGGUGUGCGGGGACUGACCCCCUGCGUGCCGCAGUUAACACAAUAAGUAUCCCACCUGGGGAGUACGAUCGCAAGGUUGAAACUCNAAGGAAUUGACGGGGGCCCGCACAAGCGGUGGNUUAUGUGGUUUAAUUCGAU